rnacentral:misc_RNA from 1 species
GAUGAAUUUACUUUAAAAUAUCUGGAGAGACGAAGUCGAUCUAGAUAAUGUAUUAAAAGUAAAUAUAUUUAAUAUAAUUAUCAUGUAUGGUUAUCAAUUAAAAUAUUGAAGGCUUAAUUAUGUAAAUUAGUGUGCCAAUAGUUGUUGUAAUUGAUUGAAGGGAAAAAGGUUAUGGGUUGGCUGGAGAGUUGCUUAUGGUUGAAAAGCAUGGUAAUAUUCUAGACCUUACUUUCCUAAGAGGUUUCAAAAGGGUG